AUUGUUGCUGCCGGGCGCUGGCAGCCGGGGGCAGUUGUGGCAGGGGAGCGGGCGGAGGAGAAGCCGGCGCCGGUUGCUAGGAGACUGCAGAGCUGCAAGGUGAACACCACCACCACCAUCGGCGGCUCCCCGAGGCUGGCUUCCCACCCUGCGCAGGUGUAUCAGCCUGGAUGUAGUCUCCCUGUAAGGAGUGUGAAAUUUACAGCAGAAGAAUUACAGUUUAAUACUGAAAAAGCUCUUCCUUAUCUGAACCAUCAUUCAAAACGCAGGAUGAAAGUAGCCGAAUAGAAGUUUUCUGUCACAUUGUCUGCAGAACUCCUAGAAGAUUCUUCUGAAACUUGGGCAUAUCUGUCUCAGGCUGCCCCUAAAAAGAUGAAUCUGGCAAAAUGAACUCAAAACACACAAAGAGAAGACAUUCGAGACUGAUCUGCAAGGUUUUCAGAUUCACUGAUAACAUGCAAACCAGAAUCUGCUUACCAUUAUCUGUUCCAGAUACAAUGUCAGAGCAAACAAGGGAGACUUAGAAGUAAUGUGACUCAAAAAAGAAGUAUUUUGAAAGAACGACUUACUGGGGAACAAAGUUAGAAGAUGAAAGAAGUGAAG